rnacentral:rRNA from 1 species
CCCGCUGAACUUAAGCAUAUCAAUAAGCGGAGGAAGAGAAACCAACAGGGAUUGCCCCAGUAACGGCGAGUGAAGCGGCAACAGCUCAAAUUUGAAAUCUGGCCCCUAGGGUCCGAGUUGUAAUUUGUAGAGGAUGCUUUUGGUGAGGUGCCGCCCGAGUUCCCUGGAACGGGACGCCGCAGAGGGUGAGAGCCCCGUCUGGCUGGCCACCGAGCCUCUGUAAAGCUCCUUCGACGAGUCGAGUAGUUUGGGAAUGCUGCUCAAAAUGGGAGGUAUAUGUCUUCUAAAGCUAAAUAUUGGCCAGAGACCGAUAGCGCACAAGUAGAGUGAUCGAAAGAUGAAAAGCACCUUGAAAAGAGGGUUAAACAGUACGUGAAAUUGUUGAAAGGGAAGCGCUUGUGACCAGACUUGGGCGCGGCGAAUCAUCCGGGGUUCUCUCCGGUGCACUUCGCCGUGUUCAGGCCAGCAUCAGUUCGGCGCGGGGGAAAAAGGCUUCGGGAACGUGGCUGCUCCGGCAGUGUUAUAGCCCGUUGCAUAAUACCCUGCGCUGGACUGAGGACCGCGCAUCUGCAAGGAUGCUGGCGUAAUGGUCACCAGCGACCCGUCUUGAAACACGG